UGAACGCACUAACUGUAAGUCGCUCUGGAUAAGAGCAUCUGCUGAAUGACAAAAA
rfam:Salmo salar isolate Sally breed double haploid chromosome ssa18, whole genome shotgun sequence.